AGAUAGACAUCGAAGGUCUCACCAUUAAUCUGCAUCUUGAAGAAGGGGAAUAGGCAGUAAGCCUUUGAAAGAGUCACAGUGUGCUUCUUGGAGGUCCUGAGGAUGAACAAAAAUGCUGGAGAAAGACCCUUGGAUCUAGUGGUACCCUGGGGGCACCCUCGGAACACCUUGGAGCAGAAACAAAGAUGCAGAGAAACAGAGAUCCUGAUUCUUGUGUGCUGAUCAGAUCAUAUUGGUCCCAAUGGCUACAGACAGUUGGA